rnacentral:rRNA from 1 species
CCUACGGGUGGCAGCAGUGAGGAAUAUUGGUCAAUGGCCGGAAGGCUGAACCAGCCAAGCCGCGUGAAGGACGAAGGUGCCAAGCAUUGUAAACUUCUUUUGUCAAGGGACAAAAUCAGGCUCGAGAGCCUGACCGAGGGUACUUGAAGAAAAAGAAUCGGCUCACUCCGUGCCAGCAGCCGCGGUACUACGGAGGAUGCGAGCGUUAUCCGGAUGUAUUGGGUUUAAAGGGUGCGUGGCCGGGCUGUUAAGUCAGAGGUAAAAGCCCGGGGCUAAACCCCGGCGAGCCGUUGACACUGGCUGUCUGGAGAUGUCGAGAGGUAUGCGGAAUGCGCAGUGUAGCGGUGAAAUGCUUAAAUAUUGCGCAGAACUCCGAUUGCGAAGGCAGCAUACCGGCGGCGAUCUGACGCUGAGGCACGAAAGCGUGGGUAUCGAACAGGAUUAGAUACCCCUGUAGUC